rnacentral:tRNA from 1 species
GUGACUGCGCUCGGAGAAAGUGAAAGUGAUUUAUUUUUGGACGCGGGUUCGAUUCCCGCCAUCUCCACCA